ensembl:lncRNA
CGGCGAGACGAACUACAGGCGCCACGAACCGGAGCAAGGACUGAUCUCGCCUCAUAAUGAGGCGGUGACCUCGUAUUUGCUCCGGGAAAAGUCCAGAUUUAGACUACGUCAUUGUGUCCGCCUGUGAGACGUAUUGUGCAGGAGCUUCAGGUUCAGCCGGAACACUCAUUGCGGAGUUCAGCGCGGAGUCGAGCGAGAAGAAAGAGGCUGCUGGAAUCGAGACAAAGUGCGCUGGCUGAUGACGAGGUGGAACGCUGGAAAUCCGCCACCGUGGAGCUCACGUCGGACGGAGAGGAUGGCGUUGUUGGCGGGGUCUCGGGGUGGAUUGUACGGUCGCCACACACACGAGGCGCCUGCACAACAGACCUGCCUCGGAAAACACGGCGCCAGUGACGGUCUACAACACCGAGGAGGCAAACGGACAGUUUACUGAGCUGUAGUUUUUAAACCGCCGUUACCCAAGUGUGGGCAGAUCCUCACUUUGUAUGUAGUUGUUGUUUGUAUGUUGUUAAUAAAGCUCUUU